rnacentral:rRNA from 1 species
AACGAACGCUGGCGGCAUGCCUAACACAUGCAAGUCGAACGAGACCUUCGGGUCUAGUGGCGCACGGGUGCGUAACGCGUGGGAACCUGCCUUUAGGUUCGGAAUAACUCAGAGAAAUUUGAGCUAAUACCGGAUAAUGUCUUCGGACCAAAGAUUUAUCGCCUUUAGAUGGGCCCGCGUUGGAUUAGCUAGUUGGUGGGUAAGCCUACCAAGGCGACGAUCCAUAGCUGGUCUGAGAGGAUGAUCAGCCACACUGGGACUGAGACACGGCCCAGACUCCUACGGGAGGCAGCAGUGGGAAUAUUGGACAAAUGGGCGAAAGCCUGAUCCAGCAAUGCCGCGUGAGUGAUGAAGGCCUUAGGGUGUUAAAGCUCUUUACCCGAGAUGAUAAUGACAGUAUCGGGAGAAUAA